AGCUUUGCACAGUGGCAGUAUUGUGGCCAAUGAGGUUUAUCCGAGGCACGAUUAUUGCUAAUUGAAAGCUUUUCCCAAUGCCCCGCCGUGACAAAUAUAGCCAGCACUCUCAAGUUUUGACGGUCUCUAUAGAGA